UACGGGGGGGGCAAGCGUUGUUCGGAAUUACUGGGCGUAAAGGGCUCGUAGGCGGCCAACUAAGUCAGACGUGAAAUCCCUCGGCUUAACCGGGGAACUGCGUCUGAUACUGGAUGGCUUGAGAUUGGGAGAGGGAUGCGGAAUUCCAGGUGUAGCGGUGAAAUGCGUAGAUAUCGGGAGGAACACCAAUUGCGAAGGCAGCUCGCUGGGACGUCACUGACGCUGAGACGCGAAAGCGUGGGGAGCAAACAGG
rnacentral:rRNA from 1 species